CUGAGAUCGAGCCGAAUAUGAGUCCUUGGAAUAAAAUUUAAUUCUCAAAUUAUAUUUAUUAUAUUUUAAUUUAAUUAUUGAAAUUUUAUAAAUAAAUAAGUUUCUUUUAUGUUUAUAUUGGACCAAAAUUUUUAUAGUAAAAAUUUAUCUUUUGCAUAUAUAGGUUCCUGCAAAUAUAGUGAAUGAUAAAUAUGUUUCUAUAAAGUUCAACUUAAUUUAAUAUGUUGUCUCUAUAAAAGUCUUGAUAUUUUCAAAUAUAUCUCUAUCAUUAGAAUCCGUUAGAAAAAUUUAAUUAGUCAUAGGCUAAAUAUUUAAUCUUGAUUAGUUUUUGAUAUUUUUAUCAUUCUUAUAUUAUACUGUUAUGACUUUUAGAGAAAUAUAUUUGUGAGGGCAAAAUUAAAAAUAUAAAUGGUUCUCUAACGGUUUUUUGACGGUAACAAAUUAGAGAUAUAUAUAUAUAUAUAUAUAUAUAUAUAUAUAUAUAUAUAUUCGAGCUAUAUCAAACCGAAUGCAAACGAACUAAUCUCAACUCGCGUCUGACUCGUUAAGAUAUCAAGCUAAAAAAUUUAACUUGUAUUCAACUCAUUUAUUAAAUAAACAAUUCGUUCUGAAACCCAUUUUAAAUCAAAUACGAGUUGGCUCGCAAACAGUACGGAUGGAAUUGUCAGCCCAGCUAGCUUGUUAAUAGCAAGGUUU
rnacentral:lncRNA from 1 species